UAAUAGAAAGCAGGCACAUUUUCUAAUUCAGUGUUUUCCUAUAAGAAUAGGAAAACCAAUUGAAAAGAAAACUCCUAAUUAAAAGAAACUUUGUCUCAGAAAAAUAUUAUUGUUACACAUUUACCCCUAAAUUAGUAAACCAGUAAAUAUUUUUCUUAGUAAAUUAGCAAAUAUUUUUAGAACAAAUGAAAAUAUUCUUUUAAUGUCCAAAGAAGUGUUAAAAGAAAUACAGUGUCAUCUUUUAGGAUGGGAAGUCCAUAGUGUGGUAACCGUCUGUGGCCUGGACUGACUGGUAAUUGUUCUCUAUCUGAAUAGUGUGAU
rnacentral:lncRNA from 1 species